rnacentral:rRNA from 1 species
GAUGAACGCUGGCGGCGUGCUUAACACAUGCAAGUCGAACGGUGAAGCAGAGCUUGCUCUGUGGAUCAGUGGCGAACGGGUGAGUAACACGUGAGCAACCUGCCCCUGACUCUGGGAUAAGCGCUGGAAACGGCGUCUAAUACUGGAUAUGAGCUGCGAUCGCAUGGUCAGCAGUUGGAAAGAUUUUUCGGUCUGGGAUGGGCUCACGGCCUAUCAGCUUGUUGGUGAGGUAAUGGCUCACCAAGGCGUCGACGGGUAGCCGGCCUGAGAGGGUGACCGGCCACACUGGGACUGAGAAACGGCCCAGACUCCUACGGGAGGCAGCAGUGGGGAAUAUUGCACAAUGGGCGAAAGCCUGAUGCAGCGACGCCGCGUGAGGGAUGACGGCCUUCGGGUUGUAAACCUCUUUCAGCAGGGAAGAAGCGCAAGUGACGGUACCUGCAGAAGAAGCACCGGCUAACUACGUGCCAGCAGCCGCCGUAAUAC